rnacentral:rRNA from 1 species
CAGCAGCCGCGGUAAUACGUAGGGUGCAAGCGUUGUCCGGAAUUAUUGGGCGUAAAGAGCUCGUAGGCGGUCUGUCACGUCGGCUGUGAAAACCCGAGGCUCAACCUCGGGCCUGCAGUCGAUACGGGCAGACUAGAGCUCGGUAGGGGAGACUGGAAUUCCUGGUGUAGCGGUGAAAUGCGCAGAUAUCAGGAGGAACACCGGUGGCGAAGGCGGGUCUCUGGGCCGAAACUGACGCUGAGGAGCGAAAGCGUGGGGAGCAAACAGGAUUAGAUACCCUGGUAGUCCACGCCGUAAACGUUGGGCGCUAGGUGUGGGUUUCCUUCCACGGGAUCCGUGCCGCAGCUAACGCAUUAAGCGCCCCGCCUGGGGAGUACGGCCGCAAGGCUAAAACUCAAAGGAAUUGACGG